CAUCCCAUGGCAGCUGCUCACCUUUCAAACCCACGCCACAAGAGAUAAGGUUUAAAGGAAACAUCACAAGGAGUUUCUCUCCCCCUUCCCCAAACCCUUUGGGAGGCUGAUGGCGAAGAAGAGAUGGGCUGAAGCUGGGACCUCGAAGCAGAGCUGAGGAGAGGAAGGCUCCCUGUGCUGGCCCUGCUGCUGCAGGGCAUGGGAAAGGCAAGAGGGCGAAAGGAGCAACUGCAACAGAUCUCUGUGCUUUUCUUAAGUCAUUCAAUUCGGUUGGAGCCUGGAAGCUCAGAGACAGGCAUGGAAGAAAAGCACUUCACUUCCCACUAACAUUACCUCACACCCACUUAAGAGCCCUGUACGUGCCAGCAAAAGACAAACCAGAGCGUCCGUGGGCAGAGAACACAAAAGCGACGUGAGCGCAGUCAACGCUGUACUCGAGAGCAAUCUACAGAGCGGAGGAAGAGACGGGCUGAGGCAUUUGCUCAGCUCCAGAUAUUUUAUAGAGAUAUUUGCCUCUGAUUGCCAGGAUUUAAAGUAGAUUUGUUUACAGUGAGUGUGGUAAAAUUGCUACGAACUGAGAAACUGUUACAAUUAAGUUGUCAAUCUGUAUCCGAUUGUAUCCGAUGUCAACAAUAAGAUAGAUAGCAAGUUCAAGCGGUAUUAAAAAAAAAAAAAACGCCAAUUCAUUCUACUAUCACUUUGCUUAGCUAAAGCCAGCUUAAUUCUAUUUAUAUAUAAGAUAAAGUAACAUCUAUUCAGAACAACACCCUGUGACUAGGCAAACGUGUCUUUGAACUGAUUCUUGUUUCAGUCGCGGCACUGUUUCAAGCUGAGCUUCCCAGUUCCUCAGUGCCCUGACGAGGAAAGAAGCAAGUUUCAGCUCCUGCAGACCGCCCCACAAGGGCGCAGGCAGCAGGCGCCUGUAGGCCUUCGCAAGAGAAGGUUUAACUUAUAGCCACCAAUUUCUGCUGAUGAAUUUGAACCUAAUGUUGUGAUCAGGUUGGAGGCUGGCUGGUACCGAGUUUUAUUUUAUCAUUCUGGUUUCCAGGGUGAUUGGAGCAGGGAUUAGACCCCAGGUCCCCAGUUCCCGCUCCCAAACAGGACUGGGUUGGCCACUGGGCUGUAGGCUCCGACUGCC
rnacentral:lncRNA from 1 species